AGAUCUUAACGAAGGUACCUUUAAUUUGUAUUUGGCUAUGUCUAAUUUUUCAUAGUUCUUGUUGGGAUGAGUUUCAAAUUUUUUCUUUCCUGGUUACAAACUUUACCUCCUGUUUGGAUGCAGAGAAAAUUGUGGUAAUGUGAAGGAAUCAUGUGGCUAUGUUUUUAGUCCAAGAUUAGUAUUCCUUGUCUUCUUUUCUUGGAUCAUAUAUAAGUUUAGGAUUCACACAAUUCUGUAAUUAUUUUUCAAGGUUCUAUUAUUGAUCAUUACAAGAUAUACAACACAAGAAAAUAAAUUACAGAAUUGUGUGAAUCCUA
rnacentral:misc_RNA from 1 species